rnacentral:tRNA from 1 species
GGGGUUGUGGCUCAGCAGUAGAGCGCUCACCUAUCAAGUGCAAAGUCCUGGGUUCGAUCCUCAGCACCA